CUCUCCUAAUUUUUUUAACCUUUCCUUCCAGAGUUUUACAUUCUCGCUCUACUCAAGGGUUUCCACACAUUUCCAAACCCACAUUCUCGUUUUUGUUCAGAAUGCUCUGUCAAGCUCGAUUUGAAUUCAUCAAAUCAGCAUUCAUCUUCUCAUCUCCGUCCAAGGUUUUACACUCACUCUCCUAAAUUUUUUCCUAAAUAUCCAAACACUAGCAUUUUCGUUUUUGUUCAGAAAGGUCCGUCAUCAAAUUGGCGUUUUGAAAGCUCGUUCUAGAAGUUCGAUUUGGAUCCAUCAAACCGAUAUUCAUCUUCGUCCUCGCUCAUCUGCCAGUGCUCGUCAUCUCCGUCAUCGCUCAUCGGCCAGUGGUCGUCGUCAAUGCUUGUUGGCCGUUGCUCGUCUCUCAGUGAUCGUCUCUUAGUGAGUGUGGGUUUGACCCUAAUUUUUUAACCCUCUUUGAUAUGCAGAGAGAUGUUUGCUCUAGUCCUUUCAUUUGGCCUUCUCCUCACUGCAUUAAGAAGCAGAAAGGCUAGGUCAUGGCGCUAUGGUUGUGUAGCAGACUAUUUAUCUCUUUCUUUCUGGGAUGAGAUUGGGGAGAGUGACAAUGAUAGAGACAACAUGCUUCUUCAACUGGAGCAAGAAUGCUUGGAUAUUUAUCACAGGAGAGUUAAGGAGACGAGGAAGCACAAGGCUGACAUAUAUUAAUGGGUGGCAGAUGCUGAAGCUCAAGCAACUAAUAUUGUUUCUUCCCUUAGGGAAUCUACAAUGCUCCCACGAGGAAAAGGAUCCUUGAAGCAGCAAUUAGCUGCCAUUAAACUUGUCUUAGAGGAUUUGAGGUCAAAGAAGGAUGAAAGAAUAAAGGAAUUUUUAGAGAUAAAGUCCCAAAUUUCUCAGAUAUGUGAUGAAAUAGCAGGUUGUGGACAGUACACAAGUGUCACAGACUCAGAUGUAAAUCAAAGUGAUCUGACAUCAAAGAAAUUGGGGGAACUCAAGUCGCAUCUACAGGAGCUUCAGAAUGAAAAGGUUUUACCAAAUUCAUAAUACAGAUAAAUAGUGUUGAUAGUUCCAGAUAAGAGGAGUUGUUAAAGUCAAGCCUCAUGGUCCCAUCACUAAGUUCCCUCUCACUUUCUCUUUAUCUCUUUCUUUCUUUUACAAUCACUUUUUCAUUUGGUUGUUUAGAACAAGUUGUUGAGGUUAAUAUUGAUGUGAUAUUACUAUGAUUCUAAGUCAGUAAAAUGUUAAAGACACUUCUAAUGUUACUGCAGAAUAAAAUGCUUCUUUGAGAGAUUGUGGUUACCUAGAUGUCUUGGUAAAUGAGAGUGAUAGUAUGAGAAUUGAAGUUUACAUAGUUAAGAUAAGGGUAAUAUAUUUCUUGCAUGUUCUGCACCAACAUUCCUUGUAUUUGGAAUGGAGACCAGGUCAUGGUAAGUUCUAAAUUUAUUUCUGUUGCUGCUUAGGUAAUAUAUAAGGGUUAUAUCCAUCAUUAGUUUUUUCAUUAUUUCCUAUGCUAUUGGUGUUAUAUUUAAUAAGUAGUUACUCUUCUUCUCCCACCCUCUUUUUUAUGUAGCCUCUUAGAAUUUUCUUGUCUUCUCUCCAAUUCAGAAAUAGUCACUAGAUUUGAAGAAACACAAGUGCAUCAAGGUAGAUUUCUCUCCUAAGGGUUGAAAGAGUGAGCGAGUAUCUCAAUGCUUCCCAAACUAAAUUCCACCUUUAUUCCUACCUCUGCUUUGUCUGAUGCUCCUCAUAAUUGUAGAUAACAUGUGGAAUGAUGGCUUCUCAAUUUUAGGCUUUUCUUGAUGCCACUGAGUGUCUCUAUAAAACACAAAAGCUUGCCGGCAAACCUGCUGGAAUUAUCUCCAGCACUCGAUACCAAGGUGGUCAAGAAGAGACUACAAUUACAUUAUUUACUGAUUGUGAUGGUAUCAUCCCUCUAGUUCACCGUGGAAUGGUAUUUGUUCCAUUUGGAAUAAGAUUUACAUACAACCAUGAGUUUGAAAAUAUGGAGGAAGUGAAAGGUGGAAGUCCUUAUGGUUCACGAGCAUGGCUAUUACUUGUAUGCUUUGUGUGUUUGACGCAAAGAAAGCUAAUAGAUUUGAAGUAAUCACUUCCUCCAGGUCAGUAAUAGAAUCUGUAGUUUAAUUGAAUAAUUGUUCUUCUAAAGGCAUUUUUUUUUUUUCUGCAGGGAAGACCUUAAUAUGGGUUAAUAUGGAAUUGGUAAAAAAACAUAUUUAAUUCAAAUCUCUAAAUAAAGUUC